CACUCCUACGGGAGGCAGCAGUGGGGAAUAUUGGACAAUGGGCGCAAGCCUGAUCCAGCCAUGCCGCGAGAGUGAUGAAGGCCCUAGGGUUGUAAAGCUCUUUCACCGGAGAAGAUAAUGACGGUAUCCGGAGAAGAAGCCCCGGCUAACUUCGUGCCAGCAGCCGCGGUAAUACGAAGGGGGCUAGCGUUGUUCGGAAUUACUGGGCGUAAAGCGCACGUAGGCGGAUCGAUCAGUCAGGGGUGAAAUCCCAGGGCUCAACCCUGGAACUGCCUUUGAUACUGUCGAUCUGGAGUAUGGAAGAGGUGAGUGGAAUUCCGAGUGUAGAGGUGAAAUUCGUAGAUAUUCGGAGGAACACCAGUGGCGAAGGCGGCUCACUGGUCCAUUACUGACGCUGAGGUGCGAAAGCGUGGGGAGCAAACAGGAUUAGAUACCCGAGUAGUCCCAUG
rnacentral:rRNA from 1 species